rnacentral:rRNA from 1 species
AUUGAACGCUGGCGGCAGGCCUAACACAUGCAAGUCGAACGAGUGGCGAACGGGUGAGUAAUAUAUCGGAACGUACCGAGUAAUGGGGGAUAACCACUCGAAAGAUUGGCUAAUACCGCAUAUUAUUCUAGCGGCCGAUAACUGAUGAGCUAGUUGGUGGGGUAAAGGCCUACCAAGGCGACGAUCGGUAGCGGGUCUGAGAGGACGAGCAGCCACAGUGGGACUGAGACACGGCCCAGACUCCAACGGGAGGCGGCAGUGGGGAAUUUUGGACAAUGGGGGCGACCCUGAUCCAGCCAUGCCGCGGGUAUGAAGAAGGCCUGCGGGUUGUAAAGUACUUUUGUUGGGGAAGCGGUACCUAAAGGAUAAGCACCGGCUAACUACGUGCCAGCAGCCGCGGUAAUAC